UAGAGUUUGGAUCCUGGCUCAGGACGAACGCUGGCGGCGUGCCUAAUACAUGCAAGUCGAGCGAAUCCUUUAGGAGCUUGCUCCUAAAGGUUAGCGGCGGACGGGUGAGUAACACGUGGGCAACCUGCCUGUAAGACUGGGAUAACUUCGGGAAACCGGAGCUAAUACCGGAUAAUCCUUUUCCUCUCAUGAGGGAAAGCUGAAAGUACGGUUUCGGCUGUCACUUACAGAUGGGCCCGCGGCGCAUUAGCUAGUUGGUGAGGUAACGGCUCACCAAGGCGACGAUGCGUAGCCGACCUGAGAGGGUGAUCGGCCACACUGGGACUGAGACACGGCCCAGACUCCUACGGGAGGCAGCAGUAGGGAAUCUUCCACAAUGGACGAAAGUCUGAUGGAGCAACGCCGCGUGAGCGAUGAAGGCCUUCGGGUCGUAAAGCUCUGUUGUUAGGGAAGAACAAGUAUUCGGAGUAAGCUGCCGGUACCUUGACGGUACCUAACCAGAAAGCCACG
rnacentral:rRNA from 1 species